AAUCAACGCUGGCGGCGUGCCUAACACAUGCAAGUCGAACGCGAAGGGGGCUUCCGCCCUGAGUAGAGUGGCAGACGGGUGAGUAACGCGUGGGUGACCUACCCUCGAGCGGGGGAUAACGUCCCGAAAGGGACGCUAAUACCGCAUGACAUCCUGCCCUUGGACGGGCGGUGAUCAAGGCUGGGGAUCGCAAGACCUGGCACUUGAGGAGGGGCCCGCGUCCGAUUAGCUAGUUGGUGAGGUAACGGCUCACCAAGGCGACUAUCGGUAGCCGGCCUGAGAGGGCGGACGGCCACACUGGGACUGAGACACCGCCCAUACUCCUACGGGAGGCAGCAGGGGGGAAUUGUUCGCGAUGGGCGCAAGCCUGACGACGCAACGCCGCGUGGAGGAUGAAUAUUUUCGGAUCGUAAACUCCUGUCGAAUGGGACGAAUGACCUGGCCGUGAACAGCGGUCGGGAAUGACGGUACCGUGAGAGGAAGCCCCGGCUAACUCCGUGCCAGCAGCCGCGGUAAUACGGGGGGGGCAAG
rnacentral:rRNA from 1 species